rnacentral:rRNA from 1 species
UACGUAGGGUCGGAGCGUUACCCGGAUUUAUUGGGCGUAAAGGGCGUGUAGGCGGUUCUAGAAGUUCCUCUUGAAAUCUUUAGGCCCAACCUAAAGACCGGGAGGAAGACUCUAGGGCUAGAAUCUGGCAGGGGCUGGUAGAACUUUGGGGGGAGCGGUAAAAUGCGUUGAUAUCCAAAGGAAUACCGAUGGCGAAGGCAGCCAGCUGGGCCAGCAUUGACGCUGAGACGCGAAAGCGUGGGGAGCGAACGGG